rnacentral:rRNA from 1 species
UUGGAGGGCAAGUCUGGUGCCAGCAGCCGCGGUAACUCCAGCUCCAAUAGCGUAUAUUAAAGUUGCUGCAGUUAAAAAGCUCGUAGUUGAAUUUCGGGAUUCAUCCGUUGGUCGGGCUUCACGGUCCGUACUGGUGUGAUGGGUUCCUACCUUCUGAAUAACCGGCAUGCCAUUAAUUUGGUGCGCCGGGGAAGCAGAACUAUUAUCUUGAAAAAAUUAGAGUGCUUAAAGCAGGCAAGUGCCUGAAUAGGUUAGCAUGGAAUAAUAAAAUAGGACGGCAUGGUUCUAUUUUGUUGGUUUCUAGGAUCACCGUAAUGAUUAAUAGGGAUAGUUGGGGGCAUUAGUAUUCAAUUGUCAGAGGUGAAAUUCUUGGAUUUAUUGAAGACUAACUUCUGCGAAAGCAUUUGCCAAGGAUGUUUUCAUUAAUCAAGAACGAAAGUUAGGGGAUCGAAGACGAUCAGAUACCGUCGUAGUCUUAACCAUAAACUAUGCCGACUAGGGAUCGGACGAUGUUAAUUUUUUAAUGACUCGUUCGGCGCCUUACGGGAAAC